rnacentral:rRNA from 1 species
ACUCCUGCGGGAGGCAGCAGUAGGGAAUCUUCGGCAAUGGGGGCAACCCUGACCGAGCAACGCCGCGUGAGUGAAGAAGGUUUUCGGAUCGUAAAGCUCUGUUGUAAGUCAAGAACGAGUGUGAGAGUGGAAAGUUCACACUGUGACGGUAGCUUACCAGAAAGGGACGGCUAACUACGUGCCAGCAGCCGCGGUAAUACGUAGGUCCCGAGCGUUGUCCGGAUUUAUUGGGCGUAAAGCGAGCGCAGGCGGUUUGAUAAGUCUGAAGUUAAAGGCUGUGGCUCAACCAUAGUUCGCUUUGGAAACUGUCAAACUUGAGUGCAGAAGGGGAGAGUGGAAUUCCAUGUGUAGCGGUGAAAUGCGUAGAUAUAUGGAGGAACACCGGUGGCGAAAGCGGCUCUCUGGUCUGUAACUGACGCUGAGGCUCGAAAGCGUGGGGAGCGAACAGGAUUAGAAACCCCAGUAGUCCCAUG